rnacentral:rRNA from 1 species
GACGAACGCUGGCGGCGUGCUUAACACAUGCAAGUCAAACGAUGAAAGCUGGAGCUUGCUCCGGCUGGAUUAGUGGCGAACGGGUGAGUAACACGUGAGCAAUCUGCCCUUGACUCUGGGAUAACUCCGAGAAAUCGGUGCUAAAACCGGAUAUGACCCUUGGCGGCAUCGCUGGGGGUGGAAAGUUUUUCGGUCAAGGAUGAGCUCGCGGCCUAUCAGCUUGUUGGUGAGGUAAUGGCUCACCAAGGCGACGACGGGUAGCCGGCCUGAGAGGGUGACCGGCCACACUGGGACUGAGACACGGCCCAGACUCCUACGGGAGGCAGCAGUGGGGAAUAUUGCACAAUGGGCGCAAGCCUGAUGCAGCAACGCUGCGUGGGGGAUGACGGCCUUCGGGUUGUAAACCUCUUUUAGCAGGGAAGAAGCGAAAGUGACGGUACCUGCAGAAAAAGCACCGGCUAACUACGUGCCAGCCGCCGCAGUAA